rnacentral:rRNA from 1 species
UACGAACUGUGCAAACGUUAUUCGGAAUCACUGGGCUUAAAGGGUGCGUAGGCGGCCAUUUAAGUAGGGUGUGAAAGCCCCCGGCUCAACCGGGGAAUGGCGUCCUAAACUGGAUGGCUGGAGUGAGAUAGAGGUGUGUGGAACUUCCGGUGGAGCGGUGAAAUGUGCAGAUAUCAGGAGGAACACCGGUGGCGAAGGCGGGUCUCUGGGCCGAUACUGACGCUGAGGAGCGAAAGCGUGGGGAGCGAACAGG